rnacentral:rRNA from 1 species
AUAUUAUUAAGCGGAGGAAAAGAAACUAACAAGGAUGCCCUCAGUAACGGCGAGUGAAGCGGGCAAAGCUCAACCUGAAAAUCGGGUUUCCAAACGGGAUCUCGAAUUGUGGGCUACAGACGCGUGAUCAGUGUGUGACCCGGGUAUAAGUGUUGUUGGAAAACGCUAACAUAGAGGGUGAUAUUCCCGUCCGUGACCUGGAGUUCGCCGCGUACGAUCCGUGUUCGCAGAGUCGCGUUGUUUGGGAUUGCAGCGCUAAAUGGGUGGUAAAUUUCAUCUAAAGCUAAAUAUCGACGAGAGACCGAUAGCGAACAAGUACCGUGAGGGAAAGAUGAAAAGAACUUUGAAAAGAGAGUUAAAAAGUACUUGAAAUUGCUAAGAGGGAAGCACUGGAAACCAGUCGUGACUAUGUGUAUUUUUAAUGCCCGCUCCUGGAUUCCAGCAUAGUCGGUGAGCCACAAGCCACCUCUGCGUUGGAUGAAAAUGUGGGUAUGUCGUGCAUGUAGUCGAGUCAGAAUCAGUUUGAUUUGUGAGAGAAAGCUAUCACAACGGUAGGAGCUCGGGUAGCAAUAUUCAAGUUCUGCUUAGUGUGGUAGUGCUAUCAUGGGUUAGACUGA